rnacentral:pre_miRNA from 7 species
UUCUAAACAUGCACUGAAGGACCCACGAAGAGAGACCCUCACUCAAGUCUCAGGAAUAGUGUGCACCCAUUGAGACACUGAGACCG